rnacentral:lncRNA from 1 species
GUGCUGAGGAAGGUGGGCACGAAGGCGCCGUCGCCCAUCUUGGAGCUCUCCAGGAGGUGCUGCGUCAGGCGCGGCAGUGGGGCGGCGCGCAGCAGACGGCCGUGGGGCGCCCCAUAGCGCUGUGGGGCGGCCGAGAAGAGCGCGUCGGCUUCGCGGAGCUCCGUCUGUUAUGGGGUGGGGGUCACAUCGUGGGGUCACCUCAUGGGGGCGUCCCAAUGGCUCAUCCAUCUUUGGGGUCAUCUCUUGGGGUCAACCCGUGAGGUCACCUCAUAGGGUCAUCUCUUGGGGUCAUGCCAUGAGGUCACCCCAUAGGGUCAUCUCUUGGGGUCAACCCAUGAGGUCACCCCAUAGGGUCAUCUCUUGGGGUCAUGCCAUGAGGUCACCCCAUAGGGUCAUCCCAGUGGGUCAUCUCUUGGGGUCAUCCCACGGGGUCUUCUUGUGACCUCAUAGGGUUAUCCCAUGGGAUCAACUCAGGGUGAAACUAUAGGGCCAUCCUUUGGGGGUCACCCCAAAGGUUAUCCUACGGGGUCAUCUCAUGGGAUCGCCUCGUGGGGUCACCCCACAGAGUCAUCCCAGCGGUGUCACCCCAUGGCAGUGGCACCCACUGCCCCUCACGUGUUCCCACUGACCCCCCAGAGCCCCCUGGCCCCACUCACUCACCUGCUGUGGGUCGGACUCGGGGGGAUUGGCCCUAUAGGAGCUCAGCACCACCCCUCCUCCCGGCCCGGGGGGGUCCGCGCCCCCUCCAGCAGCGCCCGCAGCGCCCGUGGGAACAUUGGGGGCCCCACAGCUCCGCCCCACGGCUCAGCCCCACGGCGACGUCAUCCUGGGGGGGGUCUGGGGAAGGGGGGGGGGUCAGCUGCCCCAUAGCGCCCCCAUUCUGCCCCAUAGCGCCCCUCAGCGCACCCAGCGCUCCCAGUUCCUGCUCCCAGUUCCCGCCCCAUCGCUCCCAGCGCUCCCAGUUCCCCCUCCCAGUGCCCCAAUCCCCCCCCAGCCCCCCC